GAUGAACGCUGGCGGCGUGCCUAAUACAUGCAAGUCGAGCGAACAGACGAGGAGCUUGCUCCUCUGACGUUAGCGGCGGACGAGUGAGUAACACGUGGAUAACCUACCUAUAAGACUGGGAUAACUUCGGGAAACCGGAGCUAAUACCGGAUAAUAUAUUGAACCGCAUGGUUCAAUAGUGAAAGACGGUUUUGCUGUCACUUAUAGAUGGAUCCGCGCCGCAUUAGCUAGUUGGUAAGGUAACGGCUUACCAAGGCAACGAUGCGUAGCCGACCUGAGAGGGUGAUCGGCCACCCUGGAACUGAGACACGGUCCAGACUCCUACGGGAGGCAGCAGUAGGGAAUCUUCCGCAAUGGGCGAAAGCCUGACGGAGCAACGCCGCGUGAGUGAUGAAGGUCUUCGGAUCGUAAAACUCUGUUAUUAGGGAAGAACAAAUGUGUAAGUAACUAUGCACGUCUUGACGGUACCUAAUCAGAAAGCCACGGCUAACUACGUG
rnacentral:rRNA from 1 species